AUCAGAGCCAUAUCACCCUGCAGCUCUCGCCUUGUUCUUCACUGACGCUAAGCAGCGUUGAGCCUGGUCAGUACCUGGAUGGGAGACUUCCUGGGGAAAACUAAGGCUGCUGCUGGAA
rnacentral:rRNA from 1 species